rnacentral:rRNA from 1 species
GACAGAGGGUGCAAACGUUGUUCGGGAUUACUGGGCGUAAAGCGCGUGUAGGCGGCCCUGCAAGUCGGAUGUGAAAUCCCACGGCUCAACCGUGGAAGUGCAUUCGAAACUGCAGGGCUAGAGUCCUGGAGAGGAAGGUGGAAUGCUUGGUGUAGAGGUGAAAUUCGUAGAUAUCAAGCGGAACACCGGUGGCGAAGGCGGCCUUCUGGACAGUGACUGACGCUGAGACGCGAAAGCGUGGGGAGCAAACAGG